AGAGUUUGAUCCUGGCUCAGAUUAAACGCUGGCGGCAUGCCUUACACAUGCAAGUCGAACGGCAGCACGGGGGCAACCCUGGUGGCGAGUGGCGGACGGGUGAGUAAAGCAUCGGAACGUAUCCUGGAGUGGGGGAUAACGUAGCGAAAGUUACGCUAAUACCGCAUAUUCUGUGAGCAGGAAAGCAGGGGAUCGCAAGACCUUGCGCUCUGGGAGCGGCCGAUGUCGGAUUAGCUAGUUGGUGGGGUAAAGGCCUACCAAGGCGACGAUCCGUAGCGGGGUCUGAGAGGAUGAUCCGCCACACUGGGACUGAGACACGGCCCAGACUCCUACGGGAGGCAGCAGUGGGGAAUAUUGGACAAUGGGCGCAAGCCUGAUCCAGCCACGCCGCGUGAGUGAUGAAGGCCUUCGGGUCGUAAAGCUCUGUGGGGAGGGACGAACGGCGCCAUGAAGAGUGGCGAUUGACGGUACCUCCUUAGCAAGCACCGGCUAACUUCGUG
rnacentral:rRNA from 1 species